CCUACGGGAGGCAGCAGUGGGGAAUAUUGGGCAAUGGGCGCAAGCCUGACCCAGCAACGCCGCGUGAAGGAAGAAGGCUUUCGGGUUGUAAACUUCUUUUGACAGGGAAGAGCAGAAGACGGUACCUGUCGAAUAAGCCACGGCUAACUACGUGCCAGCAGCCGCGGUAAUACGUAGGUGGCAAGCGUUGUCCGGAUUUAGUGGGUGGAAAGGGCGUGUAGCCGGGCUGAAAAGUCAGAUGUGAAAUCCGGGGGCUCAACCCCCGAACUGCAUUUGAAACUGUUGGUCUUGAGUAUCGGAGAGGCAGGCGGAAUUCCUAGUGUAGCGGUGAAAUGCGUAGAUAUUAGGAGGAACACCAGUGGCGAAGGCGGCCUGCUGGACGACAACUGACGGUGAGGCGCGAAAGCGUGGGGAGCAAACAGGAUUAGAUACCCUUGUAGUC
rnacentral:rRNA from 1 species